GACAGAGGGUGCAAACGUUGUUCGGAAUUACUGGGCGUAAAGCGAGUGUAGGCGGUUUGGUAAGUCGGAUGUGAAAGCCCCGGGCUCAACCCGGGAAGUGCACUCGAUACUGCCAAGCUAGAGUAUCGGAGAGGUUGGUGGAAUUCUCGGUGUAGAGGUGAAAUUCGUAGAUAUCGAGAGGAACACCGGUGGCGAAGGCGGCCAACUGGACGAAUACUGACGCUGAGGCGCGAAAGCGUGGGGAGCAAACAGG
rnacentral:rRNA from 1 species